rnacentral:rRNA from 1 species
UACGAAGGUGGCAAGCGUUGUUCGGAAUCACUGGGCGUAAAGGGCGCGUAGGCGGCGUUUUAAGUCGGGGGUGAAAGCCUGUGGCUCAACCACAGAAUGGCCUUCGAUACUGGGACGCUUGAGUAUGGUAGAGGUUGGUGGAACUGCGAGUGUAGAGGUGAAAUUCGUAGAUAUUCGCAAGAACACCGGUGGCGAAGGCGGCCAACUGGACCAUUACUGACGCUGAGGCGCGAAAGCGUGGGGAGCAAACAGG